rnacentral:pre_miRNA from 1 species
UAAAUACUCCCUCCGUUUCAUAUUAGUUGUCGCUGAAACGGAUGUAUCUAGACAUAUUCAGUGCUAGAUACAUCCGUUUGAGCGACAACUGAUAUAGAACGAAGGGAGUAAAUA